rnacentral:misc_RNA from 1 species
GAUGAAGAACGUAGCGAAAUGCGAUAAGUAAUGUGAAUUGCAGAAUUCAGUGAAUCAUCGAAUCUUUGAACGCACAUUGCGCCCCUUGGUAUUCCGAGGGGCAUGCCUGUUCGAGCGUCAUUACACCACUCAAGCACUGCUUGGUAUUGGGCACUCGUCCGUCGAAAGACGGGCGUGCCUCGAAGACCUCGGCGGGGUUUCUCCAACUUCGGGCGUAGUAGAGUUAAAUCAAAACGUCUUAUAAGCUUGGUGAAAUCUCAUUGCCGUUAAACCUUUUUUUUUUUCAGGUUGACCUCGGAUCAGGUAGGGAUACCCGCUGAACUUAAGCAUAUCAAUAAGCGGAGGA